CGAUUUCCGAAUGGGGAAACCCAGUGUGAUUCGUCACACUAUCAUUAACUGAAUCCAUAGGUUAAUGAGGCGAACCGGGGGAACUGAAACAUCUAAGUACCCCGAGGAAAAGAAAUCAACCGAGAUUCCCCCAGUAGCGGCGAGCGAACGGGGAGGAGCCCAGAGCCUGAAUCAGUGUGUGUGUUAGUGGAAGCGUCUGGAAAGGCGCGCGAUACAGGGUGACAGCCCCGUACACAAAAAUGCACAUGCUGUGAGCUCGAUGAGUAGGGCGGGACACGUGGUAUCCUGUCUGAAUAUGGGGGGACCAUCCUCCAAGGCUAAAUACUCCUGACUGACCGAUAGUGAACCAGUACCGUGAGGGAAAGGCGAAAAGAACCCCGGCGAGGGGAGUGAAAAAGAACCUGAAACCGUGUACGUACAAGCAGUGGGAGCACAGAGCAAUCUGUGUGACUGCGUACCUUUUGUAUAAUGGGUCAGCGACUUAUAUUCUGUAGCAAGGUUAACCGAAUAGGGGAGCCGAAGGGAAACCGAGUCUUAACUGGGCGUUAAGUUGCAGGGUAUAGACCCGAAACCCGGUGAUCUAGCCAUGGGCAGGUUGAAGGUUGGGUAACACUAACUGGAGGACCGAACCGACUAAUGUUGAAAAAUUAGCGGAUGACUUGUGGCUGGGGGUGAAAGGCCAAUCAAACCGGGAGAUAGCUGGUUCUCCCCGAAAGCUAUUUAGGUAGCGCCUCGUGAAUUCAUCUCCGGGGGUAGAGCACUGUUUCGGCAAGGGGGUCAUCCCGACUUACCAACCCGAUGCAAACUGCGAAUACCGGAGAAUGUUAUCACGGGAGACACACGGCGGGUGCUAACGUCCGUCGUGAAGAGGGAAACAACCCAGACCGCCAGCUAAGGUCCCAAAGUCAUGGUUAAGUGGGAAACGAUGUGGGAAGGCCCAGACAGCCAGGAUGUUGGCUUAGAAGCAGCCAUCAUUUAAAGAAAGCGUAAUAGCUCACUGGUCGAGUCGGCCUGCGCGGAAGAUGUAACGGGGCUAAACCAUGCACCGAAGCUGCGGCAGCGACACUAUGUGUUGUUGGGUAGGGGAGCGUUCUGUAAGCCUGUGAAGGUGUGCUGUGAGGCAUGCUGGAGGUAUCAGAAGUGCGAAUGCUGACAUAAGUAACGAUAAAGCGGGUGAAAAGCCCGCUCGCCGGAAGACCAAGGGUUCCUGUCCAACGUUAAUCGGGGCAGGGUGAGUCGACCCCUAAGGCGAGGCCGAAAGGCGUAGUCGAUGGGAAACAGGUUAAUAUUCCUGUACUUGGUGUUACUGCGAAGGGGGGACGGAGAAGGCUAUGUUGGCCGGGCGACGGUUGUCCCGGUUUAAGCGUGUAGGCUGGUUUUCCAGGCAAAUCCGGAAAAUCAAGGCUGAGGCGUGAUGACGAGGCACUACGGUGCUGAAGCAACAAAUGCCCUGCUUCCAGGAAAAGCCUCUAAGCAUCAGGUAACAUCAAAUCGUACCCCAAACCGACACAGGUGGUCAGGUAGAGAAUACCAAGGCGCUUGAGAGAACUCGGGUGAAGGAACUAGGCAAAAUGGUGCCGUAACUUCGGGAGAAGGCACGCUGAUAUGUAGGUGAAGCGACUUGCUCGUGGAGCUGAAAUCAGUCGAAGAUACCAGCUGGCUGCAACUGUUUAUUAAAAACACAGCACUGUGCAAACACGAAAGUGGACGUAUACGGUGUGACGCCUGCCCGGUGC
rnacentral:rRNA from 1 species